rnacentral:rRNA from 1 species
UAAGGUAGAUACGUAGCGCGGUGGUCCCACCUGACCCCAUGCCGAACUCAGAAGUGAAACGCCGUAGCGCCGAUGGUAGUGUGGGGUCUCCCCAUGCGAGAGUAGGGAACUGCCAGGC